rnacentral:rRNA from 1 species
UGGGGAAUUUUGCACAAUGGGCGCAAGCCUGAUGCAGCGACGCCGCGUGAGGGAUGAAGGCCUUCGGGUUGUAAACCUUUUUCGCUCAUGGUCAAGCCGCCGCUUCGGGUUGUGGUGAGGGUAGUGGGUAAAGAAGCGCCGGCUAACUACGUGCCAGCAGCCGCGGUAAUACGUAGGGCGCGAGCGUUGUCCGGAAUUAUUGGGCGUAAAGAGUGCGUAGGCGGCAAAUUAAGUCAGAUGUUAAAACUAAGGGCUCAACCCAUAGAUUGCAUCUGAAACUGAUAUGCUUGAGUCAAGUAGAGGAAGGUGGAAUUCCUAGUGUAGCAGUGGAAUGCGUAGAUAUUAGGAGGAAUACCGAUGGCGAAGGCGACUUUCUGGACUUGAACUGACGCUGAGGCACGAAAGCGUGGGGAUCAAACAGG